rnacentral:rRNA from 1 species
UACGUAGGGAGCAAGCGUUGUCCGGAAUUACUGGGUGUAAAGGGUGCUCAGGCGGUCUUGUGGGUCAAGUGUGAAAUCUGGAGGCUCAACCUCCAAACUGCGCUUGAAACUAUAAGACUUGAGUAAAGUAGAGGCAGGUGGAAUUCCCGGUGUAGCGGUGGAAUGCGUAGAUAUCGGGAGGAACACCAGUGGCGAAGGCGGCCUGCUGGGCUUUAACUGACGCUCAAGCACGAAAGCAUGGGGAGCAAAC